UAGCAUCAGCUUGUGUGGCAAUGUUCCGUAGUGAUGGCUGAUGGAAAGUUGCUGCAUCGCCGAAUCGCAGCAUCCUCCAUCGUCGAUGGAGAUACUCUGCACGGUGAUCAAUCGGCUGCACGGCUUCAAUGAGAGGUUCGAUAUCGAGGGAUCGAGCUGGAUGUGAUGCUGCCGCGAUGGUUUCGCACAGUUCCCGUCCAAAACUUUGCGGCGAGAGGAUUCCCACAAUCGCUUGGCACUUGAAGUGUUUACAAUCCAGGGUUUCGAAAAGAAGUGCGUCGUUCGCGGAUCUACAUUCCGAAACUCUCAUGGCCGUCGAAGAAUCUAUUCAUCGACCUUGCGCGAUCCACAUCAACUGUUCGACGAUCUUUCAUGCAUUCUGUUCGCCUCGUUAUUAACAACCACGCCUCGCGCCAUUUUCGCGUAUAUUAUUAUAUAUAUAACGCGGAAGAAGAAAGCGAGAGAGAGAGAGAGAGAGAGAGAGAGAGAGAGAGAGAGAGAGAGAGAAAAUGACAUGACCCUACCAGAAGAAAACAAUCCGGCUUUCUUGUUUCGCAUUCUCCUCAGAUCGAUCGCCAGGAAUGUUACUGGCUAGUAGUCGACGAUCGGUCUCGGUCGUAACUCUGACCCGCGACAAGACUCGUGAUUUAUAGCGACAA